GGCCAGACUCCUACGGGAGGCAGCAGUGGGGAAUAUUGCGCAAUGGGCGAAAGCCUGACGCAGCGACGCCGCGUGAGGGAUGAAGGUCUUCGGAUCGUAAACCUCUGUCAGCAGGGAAGAACGGUCACUGUGCUAAUCAGCAGUGAAUUGACGGUACCUGACUAAGAAGCCCCGGCUAACUACGUGCCAGCAGCCGCGGUAAUACGUAGGGGGCAAGCGUUAUCCGGAUUUACUGGGUGUAAAGGGAGUGUAGGUGGCAUAACAAGUCAGAAGUGAAAGCCCGGGGCUCAACCGCGGGACUGCUUUUGAAACUGUUAAGCUUGAGUGCAGGAGAGGUAAGCGGAAUUCCUAGUGUAGCGGUGAAAUGCGUAGAUAUUAGGAGGAACACCAGUGGCGAAGGCGGCUUACUGGACUGUAACUGACACUGAGGCUCGAAAGCGUGGGGAGCAAACAGGAUUAGAUACCCUUGUA
rnacentral:rRNA from 1 species